AAAACAUGUCUUUUUGAGUUUAAUUUAAAGUCUAAUCUGCCCACUGAUUAAUUAUUAAAGGGCUGCAGUAAUUUGACUGUACAAAGGUAGCAUAAUCAUUAGUCUUUUAAUUGAAGACUUGUAUGAAGGAUUUGAUAAAAUAUGAACUGUCUCUAAUUUAUAAUUAAAAUUUAAUUUUUUAGUUAAAAAGCUAAAAUAAAUUUAAAAGACGAGAAGACCCUAUAGAGUUUUAUAAUUUUUAAUUUAUAAUAUUUAUAUAAAAUUUUAAUGUUAUAAAUAAUAAAUUAUUUUAUUGGGGGGAUAAAAAAAUUUAUAAAACUUUUUUUUUUCAAUAUCAUUGAUAAGUGAAUAUAUGAUCCUAAAUUAAGAUUAAAAGAAAAAAUUACCUUAGGGAUAACAGCGUAAUUUUUUUUUUUAGUACAAAUAAAAAAAAAAGUUUGCGACCUCGAUGUUGGAUUAAGAUAAAAUUUAAAUGCAAAAGUUUAAAAUUUUGAUCUGUUCGAUCAUUAAAAUCUUACAUGAUCUGA
rnacentral:rRNA from 1 species